rnacentral:rRNA from 1 species
AAGGUGGGGAUGACGUCAAUCCUCAUGGCCUUUAUGUCCGGGGCUACACACGUGCUACAAUGGUCGGUACAGAAGGAAGCGAAGUCGUGAGAUGGAGCAGAUCCGAGAAAGCCGAUCUCAGUUCGGAUUGGAGUCUGCAACUCGACUUCAUGAAGUCGGAAUCGCUAGUAAUCGCGGAUCAGAACGCCGCGGUGAAUACGUUCUCGGGGUUU